CAGCACCUCAAGUGGUCAGGAUGAUUAUUGGGCCUAAAGCAUCCGUAGCCGGCGCUGUAAGUUUUCGGUUAAAUCUGUACGCUCAACGUACAGGCUGCCGGGAAUACUGCAGCGCUAGGGAGUGGGAGAGGUAGACGGUACUCGGUAGGAAGGGGUAAAAUCCUUUGAUCUAUUGAUGACCAACUGUGGCGAAGGCGGUCUACCAGAACACGUCCGACGGUGAGGGAUGAAAGCUGGGGGAGCAAACCGGAUUAGAUACCCGAGUAGUCC
rnacentral:rRNA from 1 species